AUUGAACGCUGGCGGCAUGCUUUACACAUGCAAGUCGAACGGUAACAGGUUAAGCUGACGAGUGGCGAACGGGAGAGUAAUGCAUCGGAACGUGCCCGGUCGUGGGGGAUAACGCAGCGAAAGCUGCGCUAAUACCGCAUACGAUCUGAGGAGGAAAGCGGGGGACCGUAAGGCCUCGCGCGAUCGGAGCGGUCGGUGUCAGAUUAGGUGGUUGGUGGGGUAAAGGCUCACCAAGGCAACGAUCUGUAGCUGGGCUGAGAGGACGACCAGCCACACUGGGACUGAGAAACGGCCCAGACUCCUACGGGAGGCCGCAGUGGGGAAUUUUGGACAAUGGGCGAAAGCCUGAUCCAGCAAUGCGGCGUGCAGGAAGGAGGCCUUCGGGUUGUAAACUGCUUUUGUACGGAGCGAAAAGGUCUCCUCUAAUACAGGGGGCUCAUGACGGUACCGUAAGAAUAAGCACCGGCUAACUACGUGCCAGCCGCCGCGGUAA
rnacentral:rRNA from 1 species